UACAGAGGUGGCAAGCGUUGUUCGGAAUUACUGGGCGUAAAGGGCGCGUAGGCGGCCUUGUAAGUCUCGUGUGAAAUCCCUCGGCUCAACUGAGGAACUGCACGGGAUACUGCUGGGCUUGAGUUCGGGAGAGGGAAGCGGAAUUCCGGGUGUAGCGGUGAAAUGCGUAGAUAUCCGGAGGAACAUCGGUGGCGAAGGCGGCUUCCUGGACCGACACUGACGCUGAGGCGCGAAAGCUAGGGGAGCAAACGGGAUUAGAUACCCCGGUAGUCCUAGCUGUAAACGAUGAGCGCUGGGUGUGGGGGGUAUUGACCCCCCCUGUGCCGAAGCUAACGCAUUAAGCGCUCCGCCUGGGGAGUACGGUCGCAAGGCUGAA
rnacentral:rRNA from 1 species